rnacentral:lncRNA from 1 species
CAUGAAUUUCCAGUAUGUUCAUUGUUUUGUAAAGUUUGCUUUGCUGAUCAUUUUAGCUGUGGAAGUUUGUCUUUAUAUAUCACUUUUCUGAAGAAAGACACAAAAAUGGGUAAUGACCAAUAUAAUGGACCGAUCAUUUGCAACCCCCAGAAAGAGGGGAUAGGAAGAAAUUAAGGGAGCCUUUAAUUUUGAUUUUUUUUUAAAAUAAAAUGGUGGUAUUCAAUUGUUUAUAUUUAUAGAUUUGACGCAGUAUAAUGUUUUUGCGAUGUGUUCGUUGUCCGUAAAUACUUUGUUGCCAGACGAAAACUUUUUAGAAAUAAGGGGCCAAAACGGCACUUAAAACAAGCA